UCGAGGGGUAUAAGGAGCUUGCUCCUUAGAGACCGGCGCACGGGUGCGUAACGCGUAUGCAAUCUACCUUUCACAGAGGGAUAGCCCAGAGAAAUUUGGAUUAAUACCUCAUAGUAUAUAUGGAUGGCAUCAUUUGUAUAUUAAAGUCACAACGGUGAAAGAUGAGCAUGCGUCCCAUUAGCUAGUUGGUAAGGUAACGGCUUACCAAGGCGACGAUAGGUAGGGGUCCUGAGAGGGAGAUCCCCCACACUGGUACUGAGACACGGACCAGACUCCUACGGGAGGCAGCAGUGAGGAAUAUUGGUCAAUGGGCGCAAGCCUGAACCAGCCAUGCCGCGUGCAGGAUGAAGCAUCUAUGGUGUGUAAACUGCUUUUGUACGGGAAGAAACAGAGGUUCGUGAACCUCCUUGACGGUACCGUAAGAAUAAGGAUCGGCUAACUCCGUGCCAGCAGCCGCGGUAAUACGGAGGAUCCAAGCGUUAUCCGGAAUCAUUGGGUUUAAAGGGUCCGUAGGCGGUUUGGUAAGUCAGUGGUGAAAGCC
rnacentral:rRNA from 1 species